GCAAACUUGGUCAUUUAGAGGAAGUAAAAGUCGUAACAAGGUUUCCGUAGGUGAACCUGCGGAAGGAUCAUUAUGAUAUCGAGGGAAACCCGCGUCCGGGUCCGAGCGAUCGGAUCCAGACGCGGGGAGCUCUCCAGACACCCUGUGUACCCUUACCUUUGUUGCUUCCCGUCCGGCUCGCGCCGGGCGGGGAGGUCUUCAUAAACUCCUGUAUUUCUUUGCAGUCAGUAUGAGCGGAUAAUCCGCGAUAAAUAAAAGUUAAAACUUUCAACAACGGAUCUCUUGGUUCUCGCAUCGAUGAAGAACGCAGC
rnacentral:misc_RNA from 1 species